AUAUCUCUCCGUACGGGAAGGAUGAGAAGCUUCGACUAAGGUUCGAUUCGAGCGCAGCGAGAAAGCGUUG
rnacentral:sRNA from 1 species